CACGGCGUCACGGCGCCCGCCGGCAACGCCUCCCCGACGCCCCCCGAUUCCUGGAAAGAGCGGCAGGGGGAGCGGCCCGGCCCGGCCCGUCUCGGUCUGGUGUGCAGGAGUUGUGGCGGCCGCACGCCGCGAUGGGUCGCGUCGCUCCUCCGGAGUGCCACGGCGUAUUCUGCUUACGAUCAAAGUUCCCGCGCGUGGCGAGCAGAGCGCCGUGCGGUUUUGUGUCUGCGGCGCGAAGCGAGGCCUGGGCGCGGCGGGACCUCAGCCGUGCGGUGAAGGUCGCGGCUGCGGGUCGGGAGCGGCCUGUGGGGAGCGAAAGCAAAAGCAAAGCCAGGCCGGGCAGGAGGAGCCUUGCGCUGAGGGACGGGCGGCCUGCGGACCGCGCCUGGCCGGCUCUCCAGGCAUAGGGGCAGCUGCUGCCGUCGGUCUGAGCUCGCAAGUUUGAGGCCGCUGCUGAGAGCCGAACGAGAUGUGGAAGACCCCGUAGGUCCCGAGGGGAAAGUCAGCGACUGCCCCCUCCUCUCACAACGUUUCACAACUAAAUCAAAAGUCAUCGUGCAGCAGAAGAGGGUGAAAGGAGAUAACGACAGAAGGGGAGGAGCGGGGCUGUGUCCUUUCACAGACCGGGCAGUGAAUGCGAGGGAAUGGGACCUGCAGUGGAUCAGCAGAGAUUCUGAGAACUGAAGGCCUCACCAGAGUGAACAGAAUCAGUGGGUUACAGUGUAUGAGCACAAAGUCUUACUAGCCACUCUCUUACUCCUCCCUGUCCCUGACCUCAAGGUACAGAACCUUCUACCGUGUCCCUCAUCUUCAUGCAGGAUCUUCUUCCCUUUUUGUUGCUGGAGGACAACAUGAACUCCUCCUGCUAACUCCUGGACCUUUCUUUAGUCCAUCUUUCUGAGCUAUGAGGCCAGCAGAAGCUCCCGUGUAUCCUGCUCUCUGUGGGACAACACCCAUUGCAAUGGGCAGGGGCUGGGUCCCUCUGUGUGAAGAAGCGGCAGAGGAGAACUAGCUAGAAGGGCUGGAAAGGCAUACUGGGGAACCUCCUGCUAUGAUAAGAGCAGUAACUGCUUUUGUAUACCAACCAAAUGGAAACUGAAAACUCUAUAAUAAAACCAACAGUAAGUGACUUUCAGAUCAGAAAACAGGUUUGCAAGACACAGUUUGUGAGCACAUCAUGGAAUGCAAACUGCCUCACAUUUUUGGGGGUCAGAGGAGGAAGCCAUCCCUCCCAUCUACAAAGAUCAGCUUGGGUUUUACUAACUUCUGUGCAGGCAGAUGCUCGCAUCUCCAGCAGGGAGGCCAAACCUCUGAUGACGAUUCUCUUCUUCUGGUCAAAAUGUCAUCUCCAGCAUCUGCUACCUGACCCUAACUGCAGAAGAGCUUUAUUCGCUGGAACAGCAGUUUUUUCCAACUCAUGCAAGAGGCUUUUCUCCAGAAUGGGCUUUUAUUUAAAGAAAACUCUCAGAGAAUUCUUACCACUUGGAUUCUAACAUAGCAUCUCCACAGAGCAAGGAGGCUUAUAAAGAAGAUGUAAUACUUGUGGGAAAUUUGUGUCAUCGUAAAGCAG
ensembl:lncRNA